GGUUCUAUGGUCUAGCGGUAUGACAUCUCCUUCACACGGAGGUGGUCCCGAGUUCGAUCCUCGGUAGAAUCA